AUCUACGUCAUAAUAUAAAAGUUGUUGUUGGCGGUCUGUCAAAUCGCAUACAAUUUCGACGAAAAAAAGUAAAUAUAGCAUAAAAUUUAGUUGAAAGACUAAAAUAAAACAAUCUGGUGGCAAUUUAUUGAAUCGAGAAGACGUGAGUAGGGCGUUCAAAUAAAAAUUGCAUUCUGUGGCCGCCGUUGCGCUGGCAAAUGGAACGAGUAAGAUUUCCAAAUGAAAUUGAAGCCACAGCAAAUAGUGCAUAGCUCCAAGGCUUGGAAACAAAUAUAGAAGCUAUACGAUGCCAGAAAGACUACAGAGAAUCGAAGAGCGCUAACCAGGAAACAGCGUAAAAGGGCCAAUUCGUUGAGCAAGGGCGUGCUCAUAGCAUGGAAAUACAAUGCAAACGGUGCCAACAUAAAAUUAAACUGCCAAGGCAUAAGCAAGAAAUUUUACCUGAAACUGUGACGCCUGCCCACAGCAUCAAAU